rnacentral:sRNA from 1 species
UUGGAAAGUAAAGUCAUCCAUUUAUUCACAAAUAGGCAGAGCACUUGCAGUGACAAUGCUCACUUCCCUUUCACUGACCUGCCAAGUUGUUUGAACUCUUUUCCAAAAGACCACAUCUGGUGAGAAAAGAGUCUUAACCAUUAAGGAGCAAAU